rnacentral:tRNA from 1 species
GGUGUUGUGGCUCAGUGGUAGAGUGCUCGCCUAGAUCAUGUGAGGCACUAGUUUCGAUCCUCAGCACCA